rnacentral:lncRNA from 10 species
GAAGCAGCAGAAGCAAAGGGCUAUAGGUGACACACACCUGCAAGCAGCUUAACAAGACUGGAGCAGCGUUGGGGGAUGGGAAAGCAGUUUAGCAACAUGAGCCAUUCCAAGACUGGACUUUUCUUUAUUCAAGUGUUAGGUCACUUCCUCAGGGAAGCCAUCCCUGACUAGCUAGCUUUUAUGCUUCCCCCCAAUUACUGUCCAUCCCAUGACCCUGUACGUUUCAGAAUCGGAAACACCUACCAACCCUUACUGACAAUGCCGCCACCGCCACCACCACCACUAUUAUUAGAAGGUGCCAUGAAACAGGGUUCUUUUUCUUCUUAUUUUACUGAUAGAUCACCAGUGCCCACAAUAAUGCCAGGCACAUAACAGGCAAAUAUUUGUUUUAUUCAUUCAUCCAACAAAUAUUUAUUGAGCAUAUAUAAUAUGCUAGGCAUUGCUCUAUAUGCUGGGGAUAUAACAAAACAUGACAAAAUUUGCUGUCACUGUUAAGUUUACUAUGAGCAAAUACAUUAAAUAUGCUUAGCCUAGAGAAGAAAAGGUGAGAAGAGGAAGACAAACUAGCAGCUUUCAAUGAUGUAUAGGGCAAUUAAAUGCAGGGGUGAUUCCAAGAGCCUGAAGGAGGAACAGUGAGCUAAGAUUACCGAGUAGCUGCUUUCAGCUCAACCUAAGAGUCAGAACUGGGGGAGGACCAAACAGGAGCAACCAGAAGUAGAAAGCUUUCUGUCACUGAAGAAAUCUGGCCAGUGGGCAGAGGUGUCAGAGAAAAAAAUCUAAGUAGUCAAUGAAAAAGGGAGUCUGGGAUCCAGAGGUCCCAAACUGACAGCCACAGAUAUGACUGGUUACAGUUGAACAGGGUUUUGUAAAAACUGAGUUGCCAAUGUUUUUAAACGCCAGAAUUACUUGCCAAUUUUUAAAAAAUGGCAUCAGUCGCCAGUGUUUAAAAAUCAGGAAACUGCACGCACGUGCACACACACACGGUUUGGCUUGUACUUCUCCAACAUCAUGUACGUUAGUACUGUACUUAUAAAAUUAGAAGUUUGACUCUAUUUCUGACAAAUGUUCUAACACCUAUAUUUACCUUACCGGAUUGAUUCUUAUUGUGCAUUAGUUUCUAACCCUGUAACCAAGGAAUCGAGAAUCUUCUUUCUCAGAAAGUAAACUUAUUUAACCUCCUCACUUAAACAAAUGGCGGAUUAUCAUUCCCAUUUUGCAGAUGGAAAAGCAGCUUAGAUGGGGAAGGAACGUGCCAGAGACAGCAAAUCCAGACACAGCCAGGCUGGGAAUCCAAAUGUCCCAUCUCCCGUGUUCCAACACUGAAGAUUCUGAGCACUGCCUACCAAGAGGACAGGAGGGGCUGACUUAGGAAAUCAGCACGAGCUUCCAAGUCAGAAGACCCCGGACUGAACCAGUCUGAGGGGACGCGGCUACAGACGAAGGGCGCCAGCCGGAAUCAGUGAGUCCCUGGAGGAGGAAGGACCACCCAGAAACUGGCAGAGGAGGAUCCUGAGACUUGCUGUGACCCUCGCCCUCCCUGGCGAGCUCGCCCCUUGACUCCAGGCCUCCAAAACCGGCCCAGCAAGACCCCACUACACCCUCGCCCGCCGCGGCUCACUUACCGCCGCUCAACUUCCGGCAACCACAGCUCUCUCUGAGGCGCGCGCCCCGAUGACGCAACGCGGUCCUGCCCGCGCUUGCCACUGGGAAGCGGCGCGCGUGCGCAAAGGAGCAGAGGCAUGCCGGGGAAAUGCGCCCCUAGCACCGAGCUAAGUGGGAGGAACUUGAGUCGUGAGGAGGGCGGGGCAUCAGGGGGCGGUGACGCCCCCGGGGGAAGCGAUGGAGAGCGUCUCCCUUACCAGAUGUCGGAAUGUCUACAUUCCCUUCAGGCUUUUAAGAAAGUGCCCACGUUCUCUCUUUUGAUUUCAGAGGAUGACAGGAAUGAUCACCAUGGUCAUUCUCCAGGAGAGGCGGCAUCAAACGCAGCACAGGGGCCAUCAGGGUGGCAGGUGUGGAGAGCCAGGAGAUGAGAAUUUUAGUAGGAAAAGGCCAGUGAACGUCGACAGUGACCAACCUGCCUUUUCUAAACCAGCCAUCAUUCUCACAGCUCCUCACUGUCAGUGAGAUAAAGUUAUUCCCUCUCAAUACUUGGUUAGAUACUCUGCGCGUGCAAAGCACUGGACAGGUGUUGAAGAUACAGCAGUGAUUAUGACAAGUUUCUCUGUCUGGCCUGUAAGGCCUUUCACAAAUUAACUCUGAUAUACCACUCUAGACUCAUAACAACAAGAGCGAUGACUGCUAUUAAUUAACUAGCCACCAUGUUUUCAGGGUUUUACAUCUCUAAUCCUCACAAGAGUCCUGAAACAUAUCCCCAAGUUAUAUAUGAAAGAACAGAAUCUAAGAAAAGUUAGGUGGCUUGCUGAAAGUUAAAGGGCUUUUGGGCCAGGAACGUAAUCUGAAGUUUGUUUGAUUCUGGCAAAUAAGAAAACAAAUCCAGACUAAUAAGGAUACUUAUUAGAAAGGAUUACUGCAGGCCCGGCGCGGUGGCUCACGC